rnacentral:rRNA from 1 species
CUUGCUUUUCCUGCCGGCGAGUGGCGAACGGGUGAGUAAUACAUCGGAACGUGCCCUGUAGUGGGGGAUAACUAGUCGAAAGAUUAGCUAAUACCGCAUACGACCUGAGGGUGAAAGUGGGGGACCGCAAGGCCUCAUGCUAUAGGAGCGGCCGAUGUCUGAUUAGCUAGUUGGUGGGGUAAAGGCCUACCAAGGCGACGAUCAGUAGCUGGUCUGAGAGGACGAUCAGCCACACUGGGACUGAGACACGGCCCAGACUCCUACGGGAGGCAGCAGUGGGGAAUUUUGGACAAUGGGCGAAAGCCUGAUCCAGCAAUGCCGCGUGUGUGAAGAAGGCCUUCGGGUUGUAAAGCACUUUUGUCCGGAAAGAAAUGGCUCUGGUUAAUACCUGGGGUCGAUGACGGUACCGGAAGAAUAAGGACCGGCUAACUACGUGCCAGCAGCCGCGGUAAUACGUAGGGUCCAAGCGUUAAUCGGAAUUACUGGGCGUAAAGCGUGCGCAGGCGGUUGUGCAAGACCGAUGUGAAAUCCCCGAGCUUAACUUGGGAAUUGCAUUGGUGACUGCACGGCUAGAGUGUGUCAGAGGGGGGUAGAAUUCCACGUGUAGCAGUGAAAUGCGUAGAGAUGU